rnacentral:lncRNA from 1 species
UCUGGGUAAACUGCUCAUGUGGACCCGGAAUGAACAUUUCUAAUGGAUGGCUCUUCCUCGUCAAAGCUAACUCGUUUGAAGCCCAGUAUCCAGCACAAUCCAAUACUUGAGAUAACAAAAGUUAUUAGUGGUUGUAUUUGAUCGCUCCGAUCAAUCUUUGAUUGUUCAUCCAAACCAUGAUACUUUGGAUCGAACAAUUCUGCUUGCCAAAGUCCGGGAUAGAUUCGAACAAUAACAAUAUGCUCUUUGAUAACACAUGGAACAAUGAUCUG